UCCUAGGACUCCUUGAGUAAUGGGGGAUUUAUUUACCUCUUAGAAUCUUAGUCAGCGUAAGCUUCAGGACCUAGAUAUUCUCUACUGCAAAGCAGCAUGGAGAUGUGCAGUUUCCCAUGAGCCAGGAAUGCACACACCUGCUUCUUGCUCACAGAAGGAAAUGGAACCUAUACACAACAUUGGCAAGCUGAAAUGUGGGGAGAAAAACAACUUUUUUUUAAAUGUGUGUGCCUUAUUUCUGCCAAAGUGUUCCCAUCCCAAGAGUAGAGCAACUUAGGGCUAAGAAGGUCAGGAGGAUGCUGGCUUUGGGCACUUGUUACGAAGGAUGAGUUUAAGCUAGGGGAGACUCACUAGCAAGCUUUGCUAUUUGCAGGUAAUGUCAUUUAGCAAUUCAUUAGAAUAGAAAGCAGUUUGCUUCCUGUUUUCACUCUGUUGAAAUUCAUGCUCCAGGAGGCCUCCAAAGCUCUUUCUCAAGGAAAUACAGUCCUUUUGAGGACCAAGACUGCACAAAAGUUCAAACAUUAGAGUGUCAGGAAAUGGACCUGAGAUUGGAAUUGAACACAUGCUUUUCCCAGGAAAUGGGAUCUGUCAGUAACAGGCGAGAAGAUGAAGAAAGGAACGGUUUUCAAAAAGUGUGCUGAGUGAUCCUCCUUAGUUUUCUUCCCAUGCAACGAACACAAGAAAGAAUUCAAAUCUUGCAAUAUUGCCUUGUGCUCUCGAAGCCUCAGUGGUUCAUCACAAAUACAAACAUUACAAUACUCUGGAUAGCAUUAAGGAGUAGGACCAAGAGAAGGACUAGUAGUGCUUUGGGAAAAUAAAAGUAUAUUCUACCCACAUUACAAUAUUCUUGACUCUAAAUUAAUUGGUCCAUUUUCAAAUGGCACUAAGAGUCUCUUAAGUUAAGGGAUACUGACAGAGGACUUAUAUUUCAGCAAAGAAUUCUAUGACAUCUCUUAUGACAGUCUUGUGCCCAAGAAAAAUGUAUGUGGGUUGGCACCAGUAUAAGCAGUAUCUCAAAGGUAUGUGUAUUAGAAGAUGAACAAUGGGAAUAAUUUGUUUGAUGAAUAAAAAUCAUCUCUAAUGGAAAAUUUUAGAGAUACAAAUACAAAACUAUAUUUAAUUAUUGGGUUGGGUAAAAUAUUGUGCUGGCUAAUUCAACUUGAUACCAGCUAGAAUUAUCUGAGAGGAGUGAACCCCAAAUUAGACAAUGCCUUUAUAAGAUUAGGCUAUAGGCAUACCGGUAGAGCAUUUUCUUAAUUAGUGAUUCAUGUCAAAGAGCCCAACCUAUUGUGGGUGGGGUCAUCCCUGGGCUGGUGAUUCUGGAUUCUAGAAGAAUGCAGGCUGAGCAAUCCAUGAGGAGCAAGCCAGUAAGCAGCAUACCUCUAUAGUCUCUGCAUCAGCUUCUGCCUUGAGGUUCCUGUACUGUUUGAGUUCCUGUCCUGAUUUCCUUUGAUGAUGAACAGUGAUAUGGAAGUAUAAGCCAUGUAAACCCUUUCCUCCUCUAGCUGCUUUGGUCAUGAUGUUUCAUCACAGAUAUAGUAACCCAAACUAAGACUGAUAUUAAGGUCCAUUGGCCAGUAUGUCAUAUGGUAUUUACUAGAAAGAGGUGGCUAUACAGAAAAUAAAAAGAGCAUAUGCCAAAAGGAUGUUGAAAGGCCAAAAUGAUGGCUUAUAUCUAACUAGAUAAAUAUUAGAAGAAAUGAAUACCUAAUUUUUAUACUUGGAAAUAACAUACAGUGCCAUCACCAAAUGGUAUGACACAUCUAUUAAUAACAUUGCAAACGUCCUCACCCCAAGAGAAGGGUAUUUCGAUUAAUUUUAUAUAGUUUAGGAGUUAAAAGUAAGAUUUGGCUGAAUCAAAAAAAAAAAAAAAAAAAAAAAGAACGGGUUCUAGAUUCUAAUUUGCAAAGCAAGCUCUAAGGCUCUCCCAUGGAUUGGCUAGAUUAACUCCAGGGGUGUGAUCAGUUCAGGAUAAAAGACCAUUGAGCAUGACUACAAUAAUUAGGGUGUAUGUACUGGCCUGCCCUUUGAUUUAAGCAGAUGAAGACAUCAAAAGGACCCAUAGAUGUGUACAGAUAUUUCUUCUUAAUAGAAACUUUUCUUCCUAGAAGGAAGAGGGAAACUCCAAAGUCUCAGGAAUCUCAUGAAGCACACAAGGUUCAGGAAGCUCAUACGAAGCCAGAGAUGCUCAUGAAUCAUAUAGGGAUCAGGAAGCUCAUGAAACAUACAAGGUUCAGAAAGCUAAGAAAACAUAAGGCUCAAGAAGCUUAGAAAGUUUUAAGAGUCACAAGACCCCUCUCCAUGGUUAUAAAAGCAGGGAACAAUUGCUGGGGCAGGACAAUCUCUUUGGUGGGGUUGACUGAAAGUUGUGCAGAUAAUACUAGGGAUACAGCUUUCAUACUGUAUCACCCUCAAAAGGAUGGAUUUCUGAUUAUUGUAGCUGUCUUUGAAUGAUCCAUGCUCCUGUGAAAAUCCCAACAUUUCAUUGGUUCACAAAACUAUUAGAUAGAAUCUCCUUUGGUCUGCUGUUAGUGUCCUUUCUGGGAUAAAUAUACAUUUGCUAAGGCAAAGUUACAUAAUUACAUGAAAUAUACAUAUAUAUAUUUAUAUGUAUGUAUAUAUAUAUGUAUAUAUAUGUAUAUAUAUAUAAAAUGGAGAGAGAGAAACUUCUCCCAUGAUUCUCCCAUGAACUUUUAGGCCAAGGUUCUAGAUGUGAAACUAUAAUGGCUACUUUUGAGAAAUAUCUAGUCUGGAGAGGAGAAAACCUCUCAUCACAUCCAUAAUCCAUAUAAGGAGUCCUGUUAACUACCGACUGCUCCAGAAAGGCUGGAAGGAAACAUGUGACUCAGCUCGGGGCUGAAUGGCAGCAGUCAUGACUCUUGGUAGUAGGGCUGACUAGCAUCCUCCCCUCAGGAGCACCCACUGAGGAGACUGUGUUUAUGCUAUGUUGUCCAUGCUGGACAGACACAGUGCUUGUAGGUGCCCCAUUAUGGGCACCAUACUUAAACAUUCUGCAAAUAGAACUGCCUCCUAUGGAAGCCUAUAAGCUUAGAGGUGUUCAUGGUCAUGGUGUGACCAGGAAUAGCUUCCAACUCAGCAGUUAGGAGCAGAGUGAUAGAAAGGUGAGGAAAUUUAACAUCUACAGGUACAUUUCCUAGGGAAAAUGAGAAGGAAAUGACUUGAAGCACCUGCUUCACACAGAAGCCACAAGAACAAAGGAAGUUCCUGUAAAUUGUGUAGCACUGGGCCCUGUUACUGAAGUUGACUGGCUACUUCUAACAGUGUUCAUGGUGACUGAAAUUUGUGGAAGGUGAUGGUGGGUCUCUGUCUCUUGAUUCUUCUCUCCUAGAAAGAAAGAAUUCAGUACACACACACACACACACACACAAUUGUUGUUUGUUUUUAACAAAGCAAGUACUUCAAAGAGAUUGAAGUAGGCUGUCUGAAAAGCACAGCAGCCCAGUGGAUUCUGGGUUGGGGACUUCAGAGAUGGUAUGUGAGUACUUAGAAGGUGGGUGGUGUGUUAUAAUGAAGUCUAGGUCUUCAUAAACAAGAAUGCCAGAUCUUGGGAUGCCAAUGGAACUGAAUUGUUGAGUUGUGCUUAAUUCAGAGAUCCAGCUAUGGAGAAGGCAGCACAUUAAGACCCUCAAAUUUUCCUUCCCACUUGUGUCCAGCCAUGAGAUUAUAAAAGGAGAAAUUGGGGAGGAACAAAGUCAUUCUGAAACCCAGUUGCCAUCUGUUCAGGUGUCAGCCACUAAGGCCUGUUAUGUUUGUGCCUCUCGUCAUUAUUCCUCUCUCAUCAUGAAUGCCCAGGCUUGAACAUGCCUUUAAACAGAGUCCACUUAUUUUCUGUUGGUAUCAGCUUGUACCCCUCCAGGAGCAUCUGGGCUAGGGCAGGUGUUUAACUCAGAACAAAUGAUCCUCUGUGUGUGUGUAUGUGUAUAUCUCUGUGUAUGUAUAUACUAUAAAGUAUAAUAUUUAUUUAUUUAUUCAUGAAGAAGCCUUGAAAACCAAACACACUUGCAGGAACUGUGAAAGUACACAUGCCCAGACAUUAGGUCUCAUUUGCUUAAAAAAGGAUCCCACACAGCCAGAAAUUCCAUCAGAAUAUGAAAUGUGUUGAUGCCAAAAGAACUACAUCUCAAUUAUGGGGUCAGGGGUAUCUACAUUGGUUGGUUCCUUUACCAAGGUACCUGAAGUUAAGAAGAACAUAUUUUCGAAGAGAGACUAAUGCAAUUGCCUCCCUACAAUACUCUAUCUACCCUCAGCUCUGCUAGGAAAGAAAGCACACAGCAGGAUACCAGGGAGAAUGAGGCCCAGUGUGGAGAAAAAUGCACCGCCUACAAGGUGCUGCAGCAGCUGUAAUUUGCACCUUCCUAAGUGGAGACAGAAGAGCUGUCAAUGCACACAGACAGCUAGGAGGAUAGAGAUAAUGACAGAACCAGAGAAAGGGCCCCGCUGGGGAAAUAAGCAGUCAGCCAGCUCUGUGGGAGCCAGAAAUGAAGGCCUCCCGGGGAGAAUCUGAGACUGAGUAAAGUGAAAACCCACAGACCCCAACACCAGCCCCAUGAAGAGACUCCAUUUGGGUAAAUUAGAGAGGGCUGCAGGUUCACUGUCUGUCUCAGCUCAGCUUUGUUCUUCUUUGUGUUUUUACUCUGAGUAGUUCUGACUAGCUCCCCAAGGCAUCAUUAACAGUUUGCAGGGGGAUAGACCCUCAGUGAGGAAUGUAGCACAAUUGGUAGUGUGCUUGCCUAGCAAGGAUGAAGCCUGCCUUUAAUCCUUCUCCAUACAGAAAAAGAGCAUGGAGCCACAUGCCUGAGAUUCUAGGACUAGUGAGGUGUAGGUAAAAAGGUCAAAAGUUCAAGGUCAUUCUUUGCUCCACAGUAAGCUGGAAGCCAGACUGGACUACAAGAGACCUUGCCUCAAAAAAUAAAAUAAAUAAAUAAAAUUAAAUAAAAAAUAAAAAAAAAAAUAAAAAUAAAUAAAAAUAAAGGCUGGAGAGAUAGCUUGGCAAUUAAGAGUGCUUGCUGAUUUUCCAGAGGACUGACAUUUGGUUCCCAGGACUCACAUUAGGUGGCUCAUAACCACAACUCCAGCUCCAAGAAGUCCAUUCCUUCUUCUGGCCGCUACACUCACAUACAUGUGUGUGCACAGGCACUCACAAACACACGUAUACACUCACAGACAAAUGUACAUAUAUACCCACGCAAAUCAAUAUAAAGAUAAAAUAAAUUCAAAUCCAUAAAUAAUAAUGAUAAAACAAGAAAUAUAAAAAUUUGAUAGCACAUCUCUAAACCUUUUUUGAGAGCCUACAGCUUGGUUUAGAGUCUCAAGAGAAAGACAUAAUCAAAAUGGUUGACUUCAGACUCACCUAACACAUCUCAUAUCCCUUCAGAAGUCUCUAUUUCUCUCAGAACCAGAAAGAAUAGGACAUCCAAGGCUCUCCAGGUACCCUGGCUCCCUCAGCCUUUGGGAGUAGUUCUUGGUGGCGGCAGGAGUUUCACAGGUAUCGCUCAGUGGCUGUCCUACUCCAUAAAGAGAGUUCUGCUGGCCAGUUGGUAAAGUCUAAAUGUCCCUCUUUCAAAUCCUUCUUCACAGAGCAGUAGGAGCAGGGGACGCCUUAUGGAUGCAAACCUCUGCUCCACUUACUUCCGGAGGGACCUGAGCCAAGGUACUCAAUUCCUCACACGCAGCCUUUGAGGGACAUUCAGCCCACCUCAUGAUUGUCUGUGGAUAUUUAGAUAGAGGCUGAGUCUAGGGCACAGAAUAAAGUUGUCCCCCUUCCUCACAGUGCCACUUAGAGAUGGAGUCUGAGGAUGUGACGUUUCCUUCAGAGGGUUUGUCUCACUUCCAGACCCAAGUUCCUCACUAUCACCUUCCCACAGCUGGAAUGAUACCCAUCCUAUCUGUGCUUACCACAGUGUCCCCAUACUUCUAUAGCUGCUUCUAGAUGUGCCUUCCCUGGAUGGCCUGCUCUCAUCUUUACUCUCCCGGCUCCCUAUUCCAUUGGCUGUCCAUUAGAUUAAGGACAGCUUCCCAGACGAAGACUAAGCCCUGAAUCUUCCCACAGCCAUUCUAAAAUUGGUUGCACAUCUAAACACAUCAAUUAUAAAGUUGGAUCUCAUGUGCACAUUUACUUAUGGAUACUAUGUGAGCAAACACUGCAUUGAUAUCAGGAGCUUUGACUUAUUAAUAGUUUCUAGAUAAAAGGCCUUAUGAUUGGUUGGUGCUGUAAAGAAGAAACAGGUAAUCUCUAUCCCCUAUGAGGAUCUGGUAGUCAAGAUAAACAUUAAUCCAGGCAUAACAAGCUAAUCUAGACAUAAAAAUAUAAAGCCAUGGCUGGGAGGGGUGGGGUGGGGCAAAAAGUGAUGCACAGGUUCAGUUCUAGGUACUCCAGUUUGCUGUAAGUUGAGGAUAGUCUUGGAUACAGAUGGGUAGAAUCUUAGGAUACAUACUGGGCAGAACUUUAUGUUUCAAGCAAGUUUGCAUUGAAUUUGGUAAGCACUGAAACAUCUCUCAAAAUCAUAAACUGUGGUGAAAAGUAGAAAAAUUUCAAGCAGGGGUAAAAAAACAAGGAUGUGUAGAUGUUAGAGCCACUGAGUGUGGUAAAUGAGAAACUAGGAGAGCUUCACAGCCAUCUUGAGGGAAGGAGGUCCAACUGAGCCUGAUGCAGGGGGAUGGAAGGGAAGCUAGUGACUUAGUGGAGACCAUAAACAAACAUAUAAAACCUGGCUUUAUUUGUCUAGGGCUUGACAUAUUGAAGGGGAUAUUGAUAAAUGUCAGGACUAUACAAGAUCAGGAAAAAUUAAUAUAAUAAAAGACACUGCUUAUUUAAUUGACAAUAAGAUAGGAGCUUUCUGAAGGGGUCUUUAUUGCUUCCCAUUUACCUCGAGGAUCUUGAUUAAGCUGGAAGUCAGCCAAGGGGCACCAGCUCUUAGGAGCCAGUCACUGGCAAGCUGACCUGAGCAGGGACAAGCUUUUCCCUGUCUAUUACUUGUUUUGAUGAUGACAUGCUCAGUGGCCAUUCCUGUCAGCAAGUUCAUGGGCUGAAGAAAGGUUGGCAAUUUGAAAGGCACAUGGCAUUUUUAUAGUGUGCAGUUAACUUCCAGGCCUUCCAGGCUAAAAUUUUAUGAGAGUGACUGGAAAGGUCAGGGGCUGAGACAAAUGGAAAAAGUGCAAACAGCAAGAAAUCGAUGAUGGUUGUAACUAGGUGGGGGUGGGGGCACUAAAAGUUACCACAUGUGCAUGUGGCUCUCCUUUUAAAAUGAAAUCCUGAUCGAGCUAGUGCCAGGAUCUCUAAGCUGUACAUGAGGCUCCCAAAGCUGAGUUUCAUGAGGGAAGCUGUCACAAGGCUUAGAAGUGGCAGAGCCAAAGUCCCCCACAUCCAUGUCAGAUCUAAAAGACCUAGGUCAGUAAAGCUACCAAAGCUGCCAGUGUUUACUGCAGUGACCACCAUUACACAUGUGGUGCAGGGGUGAGUGCAUUCUGUGGCCUUAACUGAGCAGCUCAGUACUUCUUAUCAAUGAAUGUACAGUUUUCCUGGAGGGAAAAAUCUGAUAGGAUUCCAUGUGCAUUAGUGUUGAUUUUAGAUCCAACAGGAUGCCAAGGAAAUUAGAAAAUUCUGAGCCAGAAUAUUUACAGCUAGAUCCACCCAUGGGAACUGUGUUCUGGCCCAAAACAUACUGCACCAUUUAGGCAUGAAGUCCAUGCCUAACUUGAAGCAAAUGGAGACAUGACUGCUAGUACUUUCCUUCCCCACCAAGACAAGAACACUGGCUUGGGAUUGUAUUGAGCCACAGACAUUAAGUGAACUUGGCAAACAGUUAACACUUAGGAGAAUUGGCGAAGAAAUCCAAUGAAGUGAUCAUGCCACGAAGUCUCUCAGAGCUGUCAGUGCUGAGAGGGCCUGCGAGAAAGCUGCCCUCAGCUACAGUUGGUGACUAACAGAUAAAGAAGGCAGGUUUACUUUAUUUGCAAUCUCUGAACCAGGAACCACCAUGGAUAUAACCCUAAGGCUGAUGAUGAUAACAUCUGUUAACCCCAGCCUUUCCAAUACUGAGCACACAGCAAGAAACACUUUCUGAGUCUUCUUCAGGAAGAGCCUUUCUUUGUGCAGUCAGGGUUGAGGCUCUGUGUUGUUUGGUCAGUAAUGACGUUACUAACCCCAUAUCCUAUGGAGCUGAUGUUUGCAUGGGAGCCUGGAGCCGGGGCUACUAAAGAGAGUAUAGGAAGCUCCCGAUUCUGACCAGAGCCAGGCAAAAUUCAUGGGGGAAGGAAGUAAAAAAUACUAAAUGCAUAAGUAAGUAUAGGAUGUUGGCAUAUUUUUGACAGUUUUUUCAGAGGAAUAAUUUGUAUGCAAAAGCACCCCAGUUUAGAUGUCCUUCUUGACCAUCUCUGUUAGAUAUCUACGGUAAUAUAGUAGUUGUCACAACUAAAAUACAGGACAUUUAAAAAAGAAGUUUGUACAGAUUUACCUUUUGUUUGUUUCCUGAUAUUUGUUGGGUAUUUUAGAGCAUGCAUGUAAAAAUUAAGACAGUUAAACCUUCACCCCACUGGACAUAUUUGUAAGACUUUUAAAAAAAUCUCAUAAUCUGAUAAGGAAAUUUUAGAUCAACCUAAUAGCACGCUUAAACUCUAAUCAGAUCAGAGUCCUUGCCUCAGUAAGGCUUGUUUCUCUUUCUUAAAGCUCUCUUCAGAGACAAAAGAAAAUGUUUUAGGGGCAUGGAGAUAGUGUGCUUACUCAACUUCCGGGCUUGGGGAUAGAGUGGAGUUUGAAUUCAUACUACUGCACAACCGAAUAUGAAUCUAUUCCUGUGUCAAGUGCAACCUUUUGUAUCUCACAAAAUCCCCAGAGGCUCCUCUUUCAAUUCUCUAAGCAGAGAAAUGCUCAGUGGAGCCAACUAGAGGAUGUGUUAUUGCCUAAAGUAAGUGAAAAUGGUCUCAACCAACUGCUGGAGGUCUGCUCUGGAGAUCUGGGAGUUCAGAGCUCCCCAGGGACCUGGCCCCAUGGUCUUCCCAAGUCCCUUUCUUUCUUAACACUUUCACAGCUUGCAUCUUUGUAAAGUGAAAACCCAUCAGCAAAUAAGUUAUGGCCCAACAAAACCACUCUGUUCUGCUCUUGGGAUCAGGACAGUUCCUGCUCAGAAGAUCAGGUAACUAAUUAGAUGCCGAGCAAGAGGCAAUGGAGAAAAGUAAAGAAAGGACCUUGUGUCAAGGGGUGUUGGCAAGGAUCCCAGAGCACUGACUGGCCAGGUAGGAGAAAGCACAGGAUGAAGGGUUCUCUCUGUGGAUAUGAAUGGGAGAGGAGAGAGUGCAACUGCAUAUUGUUGACCUCGGGCAAGGAACAUACUUUCCUUCACCUCAAGGGCCGUGACUAGUUCCUCUCCUUGCAGGACUGUGGGCACGACCAGAUGAGGUUACUGUCCCUCAGUUCUAACAUCCACUUGAGAUGUGUUUCUCCAGAAACCAUCUGGCCAUGUGUUUUAUACCGCUCUGGCCUCCUGCUUAUGUGUCAGGUCCUCAGAGAGGCCUUCAUUGGCCAACCGAACCCACACAGCUCAAUCCGUCUGUGUGCGUUGAUAUUUGGUAGGAUCUUUAAUAGUCUAGUCCACAUAGUAAGUUCCAGGCCAGCCAGGGUUACACAGUGAAACACCAUUUAAAAAGACAAAACAACAAACAAAAGGCUCAGCACAUCUGAGAUCAGAGGCCUGGUGGUCAAUGUUGAUUAUCAAUUUAAUUGGAUUAAGAAAGAAACAGCUAGGGGAUUACUGAAGCAAGCCUCUGGGUGUUUCUUUGAUGUUUUUCUAGAGGUGAUUAGAUAAUGAGGAUUCUGACCUGAUCAAUAGAUUAAUGCCUUGAUGAAGACAUAAAUAACAGUAUUAGCAGACGCUAGUUAAAGACAGGAGGUGGGAACUAGGUUGAAGACGUAGGGCCAUUAGAGUCAUGUCUUGGGGACUAUAUCCUUCCCUGGACACUUUCUAUAACUUCUUCCCUGAGAUUCCCAUCUGCCACGAUGUGAAUUGCUCUACCUCCGACUUUUCUGUCCCUGUCAUGACAUCAUGAGGAACUGAAAUCUCUGCAACCAUGAGGCAAAUAAUAUUUUCUUCCAUUAAGUUGUUUCUGUCAGGAACUGGUUACAGUGGCAAUAAAAGUAACCAUGACAGAGAUUAGAGGACUUUUCUGAGUCACUUGAGUCAGCUGGACAACAAAUCUGAGCUCACAGCAUUUGUUAUUCACAGAGAGUUCACAGAGCACCUUAUAAAUAAACUCCAAUUAAAUUAGCCCUGAGAGCGUGCUACUGCAAAGACAACCCUUGUCAGAGUGAGACUUUUUCUGCUCCCUAUUACCCGUCUAAUAAUUCUGCUAUGAAUAGGAAAUAUUGGUUUGGAAAAGAAGGCAACCUUUGAAAGGAACAUGGCUGAAGUGCACUUUGUGGUUUCAAACUCUUAGUGUCAGAGACAGUAUAUCGACCCAAUCAGACACAAGGAUGGUUGCAGGAAGCCACAAAUGGACUGAUCAGUUGAAUGGAUGCCACACAGCAACUAUGACAUACAAUUUCAAAAAUUAAAAAGAUAUGUAUCAGAAAACUUAGAAUUCAUUAUCUCUUUUUAUUCAAAUCCCCCACUGCUAUGUAGGAGUGAGAAAUGUUGGUUUGAGAGUGAAGUAUAUUAUUGGGUUAACGUCCUAGCCUGGGGAGCAGACAGCGUUGCAGCUAUAGACCCCAAUUCUUUAGUCUCUUUUUUUACUCUUUGAAAGGGAAAGAGUUUGAGACUGGGUCUUACAUAGCCCCGUUGCUGAGAAUCAUCUUGAACUUCUGAUCUUCUGCCUCCAAGCAUUGAGAUAACAGGACACUGCUGUCACACCUGGCUUAGCUGCCACAAUCAAAUCUGUACCUCUUGAUCUGUUCUUGCCAUCUCCAAAAUAUCCAUAAUGCAUCUUCAAUCUAUAGUUUUAUCCUUUAGCCUCAAGCCACUGUAUCUCUACACUGAAACCCCAUAGCAUCUUCCUCUCUGGCCUCCCUGCCUCUACUCAUAUUCUCCCUAUCAUCUGGUUAUACAGAGUCCAGAUGAUAUUUUAAAACGCUCUACUAACUUGCCAUUUAACUCACCAUAAAUUUCAGACUACCUGCUGUAGCAUGGCCCAAGAAGUCUCUUAGCAACAGGCUCCUCCCUGGCUUCCCUACCUUUCUCCACCUCCCUUACCACUUGCAGCUGCACUUGAUCUCUUUAUGUUCAAGAAAUCAAUGGGCCUAACUGGCCUCAGGGUCUUUGCUCCUGCUGUCCCUAUUAACAGGACUGUCUGGCUCUUACAUCUGGCUGCCUCGAGUCCUCACUAGGGGCCCCAGCUCCUGCUUGGCUCUAUACCAUCCUACUGAUUUAAUUCUCUUAACAGUAUUUAUCAGCAGUUUAAAUCAUUUAUAUAUGAAUUCAUUAAGUUUUGCUCUUUUUCUUCCCAAGAGACUGAUGUUCCCUAACCCCACUAUAAAGGGGGCUUAGAGCUUUCUCUGUCUGCCUGCAAGGGGAAGAUCUGCCCCUUAUGAGUCAAAUUCUUUCCAGAGAAAUAGGAGAUGUGUAGCAACUGAAAAAUAAAUCUAUAAUAUAUAGUCUCUCAAUUCUAUAAGGAAACAGUGGGUUUUUUUUUUUGUUUUGUUUGUUUGUUUGUUUUUUCCCUCUCUUAAGUUUAUUGUAGCACAGAUAUCCUCGGUAACAGGAAUAAGAAAAAGUCAAGUUUGAAAUGAUCAAAAUUGUAGAGUAUUUGCAGCAAGGAGCCCAGAGUCAUAAAGAAAGGUUUAAUACAACCUCCAUAUGCCUGGCUCUUUCCAUAGGGAUCCUGGCUGAAGCUCUUGGCUGGGGAUCUUGGCCACCAGCACUCUCCAUUAACAAAUAGCCUCCCUUGCUUCAGGUUCCACUCCCCACUUUCUUCCUCCAGCUCCAUAGGGGCUGACGCUUGAGCUUCUUCAUUGCUCCUCUGAGUCAUCAUGUCCAGGGACCACUAUGUUUUAUGAUGCUAUUUGCUUAUGCAAUCUGUAUUUGUUUCAAUAACCCAUGUAUUGCAGUUUUGAUCUUGGAUCAUCGAUAACCAAAACAAACAAACAAACAACCCAAAUAACUGGUCACUCGAGAAUCGGGGUACAACAAUUACAUGCACUUCAGGUAGACCAUCUGUUUAGGUAGCAGAUGGGGGGCACAAGGUAGGAAACAUCUUCCUGUAGGGAAUUCUUAUUUGCACAGCUACCCACUUGUGAUCUGCAACCUUCAUUGUCAUCUUGACUGGUAUAGAGUCACCUAGGAGACUCACCUCUGAGGGACUCUCCAGAGAGCUUUACCUGAAGAGGCCAGACCCACCCUGAAUGUGGGUAGCAUCAUCUCACAGGCUGGAGUCACAGACUGAAUCCAAAUGAAAGAGGAAGUGCAACACCCCCUGACCUCCAAGGAGUGAAGAAUCCCCGCUGCGUGUGUCUGCUACCACGCACUCUGCCAUGAUGGGCUUUAGCGUUUAAACUGUGGGUCGAAAUAAGUCCUCUUCUCUUCAGCUGCUUUCUGUCUGGUGUCCAGUCAUAGUGGCAAGAAAAGUAACAAAUGUAUCACCUUGCAGGUAGCCUGCAUUAAGCGGCCUGGGGUCUUCUUCUCAUUUAUGUUCUCCUGACUGCUUCAUGGGGAUGCUUUUCUACCACUGUGUCUCUGGUGGAUACUUUUUCCCUUUGUUAUAUUUGGGAGAGAAACUAGGUAAAGCACUUCUGGGUUCACCCUGCUUCUAUGUAACCUGGAACCUGGAGGGUAACUGGUCUAACUGAACUGCCCUUCAUAUCUGCUGGGAGAAGGACAAAUCAGUUUUCUCCAAUGGAGUGACACUGGGUAGGUAUACCAACCACUUCAGGGCAGGCGUUAUGUUCAGUAGUGGGAGAUAAACAUAUAUUGGACUCCACAAUAUUUUUGUGUGCUCUUAUUUGCUUACGGUUUUUUUUUUUCCUUUUUAUGUUAUGGUGUUGUUUUAUUUUGUUUUCAUGGUGGGGGGGUUAUUGUAUUGGAUGUUUGGUUCAGUUCUUUUUGAGAAAGAACUUAAAGUUGGGUAGGUAGUGUAGGAGAGGAUCAGGAAUUUGGGGAGGGAAGAAUAUGAUCAAAAUGUAUUUAAAUAUAAAAGUUGUUUUAAAUGAUAAAAGAUAUAACAAGAAGAAUUAAAAAGAAAAAGAAAGUGGAGAAUCAUUCCAUGGGAGCCAAUCUUUCAUUAUAAAAGUAUAGCUCAUUUGCUAAUCUUAUGGGCUAUAAGUAACCUCCAAGUUUUUGUAUUUUUUUUAAACCACUUUACAUAGAAAAAUGAAAUGAAAAGGAAUUUUUAGGUAUUCUGAAAAAGCUACAAUUCUGACAUGUAGAAAUGAGAACGAAGGCAUCUCAAACAACAAAGUGCAGUACUGAAUUGCUUUCUCAAUUUUGAAGAUAGAGGUGGUCAUUGGACACCCAGAAUGCAGAGCCUACCGAUCAUAUUUGUGAGCCCCACAGUAUAAAGGCCAAGGAAUAUUCACAAUACAGAGCAGUAGCAGAAUGCCAGAGCUUUUAGAGUCCCAAAGCUGUCACAUUCUGCUUAGUCAGAGACAGACUGACAGAGAAAGGUGAAAUACUACAGAGGGAAUAGGGGAGGGGAAAUCACUCAGUGAACAAUAGCCACAGAGACCGGAAGCCCCAGCAGACUUCACUCAGAGGUUGCUAAGUAGGCUAAGUCCAAUUUCAAUCAGCUGUCAGGUGGAGUAGAUCAAUCUGAAUGGAAUGAAAACAUUGAUCUUAAAAGCAGACCAGUAAGUAAUGUCCGCUGGAUCUUCAGAGAUGGGUAGGUCCAGCCUUCCCACAGCCAAGACCCCUCCUUAUCACUUGUUCUCAGGCCCCACAGCCAUCUAACUUGUCUUUACAUCUUUGCAGUAACUACCCAAGAGCUUGAGGCCUGCCCCAAACCUCUGGAUUACUGAGUCUCAUCUCCAGGCUCCAAUCAUUCUCCUUAUCCACAGCAUGGAAAUCUGCUUCAUCCGAAGAUCCAGUAGUGCUCACUGACCCCACGUCCCCGGCCCCAACACAUUCACAAGCUCCCCUCUACAGAAGCAUUUAGCAUUUAAGUUUGCUGAACUCAGAGGCGUCGUCGAUUUGAAAUUAUGGAAUGAAGUUUGAAGUCUCUCCUGAUGUCUCCAGAGAGUGACUCGCCCCUUGUUUUCUGCUGAUCACUGCAUUUAGGAGGAAAUGGAAAUUGCCAGAGCCACACAGAUGGGUUAUAUUCAUUAGCACCCACCAUCGUCCUCGCAGUGAAGGGUGUGAACACUCACACUGCUAAUGAAGCGCGAACGGGGCAGGGAAAGUAAGUCAUCAGCAUGUGACAGCAGGGCUAUGCCACUGCACUGGGCACUACUUUGUGUGAGUUUGAUGAAGGUGGAAUGUGAACUGAAUGUGAAACUGCCUUGAUUCUCAGGUUCCACAGACAACUGACUCUAGGAAGAGGGCCAUCUCAACCAAGUAGAAGGUCUCAUUAAAAAACAUCCCCGCGCCUGCCAGUUCAUGACAUCACUGAAGACAUAUUUAGAAAUAUGCUUAGGGAGACCAAUACUUUAUUUACUGUUAUAGGAAAAUUGUGUGGGCAGUGCUGGGGGCUCCAAGUCCCCAGUGGACUCUGAUGUUGCUGUAACAUGAAGAUCAGUGACAAGACUGGACUUUACCUCUGGAAGACCUAUCUUUAAUUUCAACAGACACAUUGUUAGGAGACCCAUACUAUGCUGUUACAAUUGCUGCUUUCUCUCGACUGUGUAGAAAAGGCAUCUACUAACACUUAAUUUUACUGGGAUCAAUGGAGUUCUUUAAUGAUCCUUUCGUGGCUUCAAAAAAAAAAAAAAUACAGGGCUGCCAAAUGGGGCAGAACUAUUCCAGAUAAAUGAGUUUCUCCAUUAUAAAGCAAAUACAAUCUCAUUAAAUACCCUAACCUCAGGCAUCCAUUUGGGUAGAGAUAGCUGUUCUUAAUUUUUGUUUGUUUGAGAAUUGUCUUUUCUUGAUGAAGUUUUAAUAACAUAUCCAUUGGUGUCUCUAAAGAUACUAAGACUCCUUGUUUCCUUGCAAAAAUGAAAUUAAUCUGACAAGCAUCUUCUGGUUUAUCUGUUUUCUUGUUUGCUAGCACAGACAUUGCCUAUUCUUAGAGUUGUCAGUGUUCCUGCCUCUAAUAUUCCCCCUGGAACAAUCUUUUGUUUGUGUUGGAUGGAUUUUGUAGCGUCUAGGAAAGCAGACAAUGGUUUUCUCUAGAAUGUCCCAUAAAAUCAUUAUAAUAGGCUGUGUGGGUAUUGUCUGCGCCUACUUAGUUUUCUGCUUCUGAAAUCCUUACAUCCUCAUUAAAGACAUACACACUGAAUUCUAUCAAGGACUCAGUUUUGAGCAUGGGGAGGAGGGAUCGUCUUUUUUUUUUUUUUUGCAGCUGGUCAUGCUUGAACUCUGACCUAGUUCUGCAGUUUAAAGGCUGGCUUCCUUCAUGUUUCUAAUGUCAGUGUUUCUACAUGGAUUAAGGUCUUUACUCCUACAUCCCUUAUUUGGGGCACUGGCCAGGUUUCUGCUAUGGUCUUACCAUAUAUUUAGAGCUCCUUUCCUCCGAACAGUGUAUUUUCUUUAAGAUAGAUAUUCCGGAGGGACUGACGAGUACUGUGUCGGGAGAAGCAGGAUCUCAGGACAUGUUUGUUCAAUGAAAGCACAGAUAUGAAACAUAAAUGUAUUUUGGCUUAGAUUUUAUGUUCAGAAGCUAUAUAUUGUUGAAAAUACUUUUCCCCUACCCAAAGGCUCUUGUAAAAUCCUAUAUUUAAUUUGCCCUGGUUACAGGCAAAGUACGAUUCACAAAAUGUUCACAUAUUUAUGUAAAACCAGGUUUCUAAGAAUGGUGUUUUACUAAGGCCUUCUCAUUUGUCUGGAAAGAGAAUUGGCCAGUUUAAAUUCUGAAACAAAUAAAAUGCAUGAAUUUUCUGAUUGCUUGUUAUUGUUACAACUCCAUUCUAUAACCAGAGAAAUUGCCAACAUUUGUAUCUCAACUGCAGAUUUCAGGUCAAAUAAAAUGUUUUCCCAGCAUAUAGCCUAAAGUAACAGAAUCAGCGCUGUGCAGUCAGCCGUGGUUUACUGAAAAAUGAGCUGUAUGUGAUGGCUGCAUAUGGGGGUGAAUAUAAGCUAGUCUAAGUAGGAAUGAUAUAUACAUACACACUCUCACACACACAUACACAUAGACACAUACACAUGUACACACACAUACCAAUCUUUAAAAAUUGGAUCUAUUUAAAAUAGUAGUUUGAAAUAAACCUAAGCAUAGAAAUGUAUUAAUUCAGUACGUAUGUACACCGUGGAUCAAGCUGUAUGUCUAUUAAUGCUGAAAGUACAGAAUGUUUUAAAGAUCAUCUUAUACUUUUUUUGAAAAAAAUUUCCAAGUUUUCUACAGUGAAUAAUUAUGCAUAGCUCUUUGACAUAUAAUGCACAUACAAGUGUAUAUGAUUUUAUGUUUUGUCCUAAGCUUCCUUCUUAAAACAUGAAGAAAAUUCACUAUGGGAGAAAGAGAAAAAGCACAUCACUUUAAAACAUAAAAUUUGUUUUUAAUAACUGAUUUAACCAUUCAAAAAUCCUGUUAGUCAAUUAAUAACAUCCCUUCUUCUUAGCUUGUAGAAAAAUGGCAGCUAGCUGUGUACCCUUCAGUCAAGAGAAUAGAAGAAAAAUGCUUUACUAGGGCUUUUGAUCAACAAGAAAGACCCAGUAUGGUUGGUGUCAAGAGCUCUCUUGUUAUAUAAACAAACACAAAGCAGACCUACUUGAAGCGAGGGAGGCCGAGUAGAGAAAAGACAGAAGCAAGCCAUCACUAAGGCUGGAGCCUUAGUAGGUCAGUGGCAUAGCACUUACCUAGAGUAUGUAAGGUCCCGAGUUCAAUUCCCCCCACUGAAAGAUUAAUUAAAUAAAAAACAAACUCAUCAUUAGUAUUUUCUAAUCAAUAGCAUGUCAUGUCUACAAAAUAAGAAACAGCAGAGAAAUUUUCAAAGAGCAGAAAUAGAGCUUUUGGAAAUUCAGGACAUAAAAGAAAGAAAAAACAAUGGAGAUUUUCAAAAUGCAAAUGUGAGGCCAUGGCUCAGAAAUCUGGGGAAACAGAGACAAGAAAAUUGAACCAAUGAGAAGAACCAUAAGAAAUCAGUGUCAGUCCAAGAGGCAUGGCAUCUCAAGGACAUAAGUCGUGGAAAGAGAGCUAAACAGAGAAUACAGGAAAUUAACCUCCAAAAUCAACUCAAAGAAAUGUCACAGAGCUACAGGGAAUGGCUCCCCAAGGCAAAAGCCCAUUAAAAUAAUCCAGUGACAAGUACUCAAGUAGACUCACAUUGAAUAAUGUUCUUGAGAUUUCAGAAAAUGGGGAAGAAUAUGAAGCUUCAAAAAGCUUUCAGAGAGAGGGGAACACUGUAUUUAGUGGAGAGUUAAAGGUUAGAAUGGCCUUGAACUUGGACAGAGCAAUGCUACUAACAAUGGAACAAGUCCUUCAAGACAAUGAAGGGAAGUGAUUUACACUCAGUGCUCCACAGUCUGCCUGAGCUCAGCUCAGUGGGAGGGCGAAUGGUUGUCAUGCCCUUCAGAACUCACAGAAAGGUGCUCCACUUAGCUACCUAGAAGAGGAGGUCAUGGACACGUUAGCAACCGUGCCCACAUGAUCCAGAGGCCAAGGAAUACACAGCAUCAUAGAUGCAGGGACCACAGUGGCUCAUCCACAGAAUGCUCUAGAAUGAUGUUCCCAGGAAAAGGCAAGGAAGAGACUGUCAUGUAUGUAUGAUGCAUGUUGAGUAAAGAUUUUUAAAGUUGAGAGAGAAUUUUGGUUUGACUUUUAUACCUACCUUAUAGAAAAUAAACCAUAAAUGACUACCUUAUGGAAAAUAAAAAUGUAGCUUAGUAGUAUAGCACUUGUCUAGCAUGCACAAGACUCUGUAUUCAAUGCCCAGCAAUAAUGAAUAAAAAGAGAAUAAAAAACCUGUGCAAACCAGAAAUGUCAUUCUGUUAUAUAGUUCAGCUACCUCUACCACAGAUAAAGUCACACAACAUGAACAGUUAUAGCUAAUCUAACCAGCGUUAACCACCCAGACUGCUGGAGGAGCAGAGCUGCAGCUGUAAUUGUAAGAGGAAUAGAUCUUUAUCCACACCCACAAUAACAGGUCAGCUGACUGACUCAAACUGAGAAGUUCAAGGAUUAGCUCCUUAAUCAGUCAACUGUGAUCCGUUGGUCAGUCAUGCUCAUGUUUACAUUGAGCUACUUUCAUAGUCAGCAUCAGAGUUGACUAAUAUAACACAGGCCACAUAUCUUUCAGGGCUAAGACAUUUAAUCUCUCUUUCUCUCUGUAGGAAACACUUGCUGAAGCCUUGAAUAGCAACUGGGCAUCUUCAAAGUUUUAGAGACAAAUAUCAAAGAGAUACAAAUAUCAAAUAUCAAAUCUGAAACUUGGUUGGCUAGUUUUUCUAAUAACCCAGAUAAAAUUAUUUGACACUUUAAACAAGGUGUCUGCGUUACUUUAAUAAAAAAAAAAAAAAAACCCCGCAAAACAUAAAAGAAGUGUUGAUGUGAAUUAUCAGAGGUGCCAGACAAAUUUUUUUUCACAAGUUGAUAAAAAUGUUAAAUUAUCUCUGUUCUUUCAUAUCUCUGAUAUUUGUUCACUCUAACUCGCUUCUUUGACCAUGUAUUCUCUUUCUUGCCCUUUAGUUUUUGACUUUAGUAAGAAGGAAGGCCUGAAGCUGAGUACAAUUUCUAAACAGCCCCUCUGCAUUCUGCACUGUGUCUGGGGAGCUGCGGCUGGAGAUUCCCCAGCAAACCACUACUCCAAGCUAGCCAAGCAGAGUUUAUUUUCCUCAGCCAAAGGUGAUGUCCAAUUUUCUUCAAACCUCAUCUUGCUUAUUUCAUUAGGAAGCAGCCGAGACUCGCAUUCCACUCAUGGAUCAAAGUUGGUGACACACUUCCUUCCUCUUGUUGCCUUGAAGUGGCAGGAAAUCCGUAAUCAAUCUGAAAGCAAGAACAGAUCUAGAAGGACAUCUUAAAGUUUUGCAAAGCUCGGAGAAACUAUGCCUCCAAGAGAUUCAGAGAUAGUACUUAUCCUUCUACUUAACAAGGACGUAGCACUGGCAUCACUUAUCUGCACAAGAGUUUGAUGACAACAAAGUAUGUUGGGUCUACAUGGUGGUCCUGGUUCUUCACCACUCCUGUUCCCCUUUCUCUAUAGUUUUACUAUUCCUCUCAUGGAAGAAGCAGAGACCAUGGAGGUUAGUGGAUGAGACAAAAAUAAAAGGGUUGAAAAGUAUUUGCAGGAAGCGGUUCACAGUCCUAUGCCUGUAAGCAUACAUGUAAUAACUCUUGUCUGUCCUAGGAAGAGAAGCAAAGAGUCAAGACAGAGCUACUCCAGCCUCAGCUGACAGCAGGUCAGCAGGAAACAUGGGCAGGCUUGUACUCACUGUGUCUGCUCCAGCCAGUUCAAGAGACCCCAGACAACUAUUUCUUCAGCUUCCCUGAAGUUAUACCUCUUUCUGGAUAAAUAUCCCCAGGACUUUUGAUUGUUCUUUUAUGGGGACCUCAUUGAUUGGUGAGGAUGAGAGCCAGUUUCUGAUGGACUCACUUCAAACGAGAUAGGGCAUUCCGGGUGGUGUGACUUCAAAACCGCUGUGCACACGUCAGAUGAAGGAAUGCUGACCCUCGGAUGCUCUCCACCCCCACCGCAUGCUGCAGCUCAAUAUGGCCGACUUGCGUUUCACAAGGAAAUGAAUUUUUCUGCUAUAAUUAGCAUCUCUAGAGGCUGAGAGUCGGAGUGGGGAUCGCAGUGGUUAAUGGCACAUGUCCUCUGGCAGAAUUUGUUCUUCCCAAGUGGAAGAGAGGAAAGUCCUCAAAAGUGACUUGGAACAAUGCAUGUUUCUGGCCACAUUUCCCAGGUACACGUGCAAACAGUGGUGUCACAGCUUCAUAGACCAUGAUGAAUCCCUGUGUGCCCACAUGACAUCUUCUUCUGUCCUAUCUUUUAAAGACAAUUAUGGUCUCCUUGUGCUUCCUCAGCUGUAAGCUCUUAGAACUUUCUAGGGUUCUGUGACUCUCUCUCUCUCUCUCUCUCUCUCUCUCUAACUCUUCUCUGAUACAUUACAUCCUGCUUCCCUUCAGAAAACAGCAGGCCUUUCAGAGAUAUCAAUGGAACACGGCACAACAAGUUACGAUAAGGUUAGACACAAACCCUCUUAUCAAGGCUGGACAGGCAACCCAGUAGGAGGGAUGGAGAGAAAAUACGGAAAGAGAUUCUGGAAUUGUGUGUGCGUGCGUGCGUGCGUGCGUGCGUGCGUGUGAAUGUGUAAAAUAAGUGCAGAGAAACUCCCUGGAAUCUACCAAGUAUGACCCCAGAGACGACUCCUAGUAAUGAGGGAUACUGAGCCUGACACACUCUUUUUUUGGAAGAACCUUCCAUUCCAGCUCAGGGUCGUGGGACAGGGGGGUCAUAUGUCAGGUUCAGCCUCCCCGAGCGCAUGGGAACCUCGGACUUGUCUGAAGAGUGCACUGCACUGGAAACUGGUACGCUCCAUUCACAAUUGGGCACCACGGACAUUCCUUAUUACUGUUUGUCUGGAACCUUCCCUGUAACUUAGAUUAUGGAACAGUCAGGGAUAAGUGUUAAAGAGUCUACAUAUUUCCGGAAAUUUUGAGAAUCUGACCUUUAGGGAAAUGGCACUGUUAAUUUUUUUUGUACAUUGAAAAAGUGUACUAAAAUAUAUCACUAACAAACACUCUAUUCAGAGAAACUUUUGCCCGUUUUAAGCUAGAAAUGCCUUGGGAUCGAGCUACUUAAUUUCUGCAGCUAAGUUUCAGCGGGCAGUUUUGGCGCCCUCUGAUGGCAUACAUGGGUAACUGCAACACUUCCUUGUUAAACCCAUUAACUGCUUCAUUUUUUUAAAGCCAGGAUUAAAAAAAAAAUUAAAAAUUCUCUUAAUUUAAUAUACACAGAGUGGAUUUCACUCAAUUUUUCUUAUAACAUAUUUUUCUAAUGCUUUAAAAAUGGAUAAAACAAUACAUAUCCAUCACAGGAAAAUAAUAAUGUAAACAUUCUAUAAAAAUAGCAUAUGGUGAUAAUGAUAAUUAUAUUUUUUCAUUUAUUCAGAAAUGAGUAGAAACCAACUAAUAGUAUUUUAUUUUAUGUGUAUGGGUGUUUUGCCUGCAUGCAUGUCUGUGUGCCAUGUGCAUUUAGUGCCCACAGAGGUGGGAAGAGGGCAUCAGAUACACUAGGGAUGAAGUCAGAGGAUUGUGAGCUGUCAUGUGGGUCCUGGGAAUUGAACCUGGGUCCUCUGAAAAACCAGCCAGUGCUCUUGGUCACUGAGCCAUCUCUCCAGUCCUGCCCUGCCUUCCUUUAACUUCACAGUGUAUUGUAAAACUUUUUCUCUGUCUAUAAUAAAUUUAUAAUUGAAUCACUUGUCAGUUUCUGGAUAAUUAUCAUUCAGUUUUUGGAUAUAUAACACAACAUACCAAUGUUUAUAUGCAUGCUCUAUAGAGCAAGUAAGUCCAGCCUUUAAAAAUAUCAAAUUUUAGUGUUUAGGGUCUGGGGAGAUGGUUCAAUAAGACAUUUACCACACAAGCAUGAGGGUUUUCAGUGGCAUGUAAAAGCCAGGCGUUUAAUGCCUGUCUGUAACCCUAGCACCAGUGACAGAGAUAGGAAGAUCCGAUCCCUGAAGGUCUCUGACCAGCCAGUCUAGUCAACCAGGCAGCUCCAGGUUCAGGAAGAGACCUAGUGUGGACGGGCCUGCUGCUGGUCUUGUGAGCCAAUCACCUAACGAAUAAAGCCAAUCACUGGGCGAGUAGGUGGGACUUCUGGGUUGGAGAGAGGCAGAGAGGAAGCAGGAGCGAGUUAGGGCCCUUUUGGAACCGGACAGCGGAGGGGUAAGAUGUAGCUGCUAGAGUUUCCCUGUGUCAUGGCAGAAUCAGUUUUUAAUAAGGCUUACAAGAUUAGGUUUUAGUGGUUGCACCCAGAGAUUGAGUUACCAUAGUUUCUGAGCUAAGUUUGUGUUGUGUUUUCCUUUAGGCAGCGGCUCAGCUGGAUUCAAGAGAGAGAGGUACAGCGGCAAAGCAUGGGUUUGCCAGAUGUGCACCACAAAGGCUGUGGAGGGGUUUGAAGCAUGAGGUUGGCAUGAUAGCGACCUGACAGUGGGAACCUAGCAAGCUGAAUGGAGACGUUUCAGGAGCUCCAGGCCAGAGAGACUCCACGAGAUGAAAUAGGUCGGCCUUUUACCGCCAGUGCAUGGCCAGCCAGGCACAACCGCGGGAGCGAGCCGGCUCUAUUUUUUAGAUACUUCCUUCAAUAGAGACCCUGCCUUAAAAAAAAAAAAAAAAAGGAUGGCGAGUGAUGGAGGAACCUAUGUCAAUUUUUGGUGUUUGGCCUCCACACAGAGAAAGAGAACAAAAUAUGUGCACAAAGGGUCUAUACCAUUCCCAGAACCUGAUAGGUGCUCAGAACAAUCAUGUUGACGUUUGGCAGUGAUCCUCUCAAAGUCAUGGUCGUGGAAGUGAAGUUAGUACUAAGAUACCUUCUGAAUGCACACCAUGGAACCCCCUCUUCUUCUCAGCUGUUUCUAAGGGUUCAGCCUAGAUGGACUUGGCUUUCAUGAGAGUCAUUUUAUAGUACUUGUACUGAGCUCAAGGCUAAACAAAACCCUGCAUUUAUCAUCAAUAUCUAUGAAGCCAGUAGCUUGGAUAAAGGUGCUAAGAUUCACAUUUUUUUAAAAAUGAAAUUUUAUUCCCUCUGCUUUGAAACAAUAAUGGUUUCCUCAAAAGUUGAUUUAAUCAACUAAUGGUGACCUAGCUAGGCAGUGGUUCUCAGCCUCUGGGUCAUGACCUCUUUGGAGUGGCUUAUCAGAUAUUCUGUAUACCAGAUAUGUACCUUAUGAUUCAUAACAGUAGUAGGAUUACAGUUAGGAAGUAGCAACAAGAAAACUUAGUGGUCAGGGGUCACCACAAGAUAAGGAGCUGCAUUAAAGUGUUGCAAAAUUAGGAAGGUUGAGAACUACAUAACUAAAGUAUACUACAACUAUAUCUAGUUUUAAUUCAUUAAUAAAGCAAUAAUUAAAAAAAAAUAGCCAGGCAUGGUGGCUUAUACCUGGAGUCCUAGAAUCUGAAGCAGAGGAUUGCUGUGAGUUUGAGAUCAGCUUAGGAUACAUGGUGAGUUCAAGACCAGCCUGGAUUACAGUGUGAGCGUCUUAAAAGAAAAGCAAACAGCAAUAGCUACAACAAAAGGGACAGCCAUCCCAGGGCAAUACCAGAUCAUUCCAGUCCACAUUAUCUACUCUGUUAGGGAGUGGUUUACAGCAGGCAAAAUGUGGCAAAUGUGACAUUUCACAGUCAUGGAGGAAGGUAGGAGGGAAUUCUUCAAUGAAGACCAGCGGAAGGCAUGCUGGGAGAGAAGAGAACUCUUCCCACUUCUCCCCACCAGGGGUGAGAAUCCCUCUACUUCAUACUCCUGCUUUCUCCCCUCACUGCCCUCUCACCCUCCUCCCUGCUCCAUGACUGGGAAGGAAGCUGGCGGUAGAAGGGCUGGCACAGAGCUGGUGAAGAGGUGUUGCUGUGGCAGCUCAGAAGGGAAGUGGCGGCUCUUACGUGCAUCUUCACAGUACCUCUUGCUGAUGGUUUGCCGCAAGACGGUGGUGUCCCUAUCCAAGCAUGAAGAACUUCUCAGUGGGACAGUGUCACACCAGGUUUCCUCAUGGCUAUGGAUGGAUGGCAGAGACCGUGCUAGACAUUAAAGAAAGCACCAGGAAUAAUGUGGUUCGGAAGGGUUGAGGAAUGAGGCAGCUUUUGGAAGCUGAACAAGAAACGGGAACUAGCUUUCGUAUCAGACACAAGAAGAGGCUACUGUGUCAUUCAGAAGAUAGAGUAGAUGUAGGGAUGCAGGGGAGCAUCCUUCCAGAAGGUGGCGCCUUUGAGCCCUUUGCUUUAGCCAGUCACACAGAUGCCAGACUCUGUACAGACUACAAGACUGUGGCUUUAAAUCUAUAAAUCUGCAUUGUACAAUGUAGUAAGAAAUUGAAUUCAAGUUCGUAAAAGACCCCGUGCAACUCCAAAUCUGAGCAAGUGUUCCCUUCCCCAAGCAAUCUUGUCUAGUAGCUACUCUGCCCCGGGACAACUUACUUUCUAGGUCCAGGUGGCAAUCCUAAGGAAGAAAGUUUUAUCCCUAGCGUUCAGCAUUUGGAAACUCUCCACAUCGGUUCUCCCUGGGAUAUGCGUUCUCAGCUUCGGGGUGUCUAAAUCUUAUACUCUCCCUUUACCAGAGUUCCUUCCCAUGUUCACACCCUGUGUUUAGCUGGCCUUGUGGAUUCUGUCUUUCAUUUGAACUCAGACUGCUGUGCCUUUAUUUGGCAAAGUGUGAUAAACCUAGUCUGGUAGAGAGCCUGGUUCUAGAGGGCUUUACUGGGUGUUGUGGUACCAGCAGAGAAAAACAAGAGCAGGUGUUAAGCAACUGUGGUACCCAAGGCUUUGUGCUAAGCUCUUCUUGUACGGUUUUAUUUAACAGAUGUGGAAUAGUGAGAUUUUCCCUCCCCUGGUAUUACUUUGAAAAGUCUAGUAUUGCCAAAGGGGGUGGGAUUGGCCUUCUUAGCCAGUUAUGUCUGACUAUAGAGGCAGCCCGGGCAGCUGCGGGCACUGUCUUAAGAUUUCCAGUGCUGUGAUAAAACCCCAAUGCCAUAGCAACUUGGGGAGGAAGGGGCUUAUUUCAACUUAGCUGUCCAGAACAUAGUCCAUCUCCAGGACAGGAGCUCAAGCAAGGCUGGAACCUGGAAGUGGGAGCUGAUAUAGAGGCCAUGGAGGAGUGCUGCUUACUGGAGAGCUGCUUAUGCCUUGUUCAUCCUGCUUUCCUACAGCAUCAAGACCAUCAGCCCAGGGAUGGCACUGCCCACAGGAAGCUGGCUCCUCCCACACCAGUCAAGAAAAUGUCCCACAGGCUUGUACACAGAAAAAUUUGUUUGGUGUUCCCUCUUCCCAAAUGACUAGCUUGGGUCAAGUUGACAUAGAACUUGCCAGCACUGGUACAGCUUCCUCAACGGAAGCUGCCUGGCCCUGUUAAUCAGGAAAGGGACUCAAAAUCACCUGCAUUUUAAAUAUUUACAUUCAAAAGAGAAUAUGCAUCAAGUCAGAUAAAGCCAGCAAAAGCCUAACCUGAAAAGCCCAAAGAAAUGACGUCUCAUUUUGCGGGCAUUGCCAGGUGGCCGUCUCUUCUCAAAUGAACCCUGGUGCAUUGGCCACGGUUAAGUGUAAUAAUUUCAAGGUAAUUUCUUUGAGGUCCAAGUGAGCUAUUUUGCUGAACAUUAAGCUGGUGGUCAUUUUCCUGGCAGUUAAGAGGCGAUAAGAGAUUGUGUAAAAGAGUCUCAUUAAAAUUAAAGACUGUGACUCCAUGUGCCCCAGGACAACCUUAAGGGGACACUAAUUUGUUCAACAUUUACCAUUAAGUCAUUGAAAGCAUACUGAUGCUGGCUGGGCCUCAUGUUGUACAGGAGUGUAAAGCUUUAAUGUCCUUGCAGGUAUUAGUGUGCAGUUUCAGCUCAUUUCCAUUUUUUUAAGCCACAGUUUGCAUUGGCAGAGUUUGAAGGGAUUUCAUCAGCCUGUUUGUGUUUGAGAGAUGGACCAGAGAAGCUAGGGUAGGCACAGAGGAAAUACCUAGAAAUCAUGGGCUAUUGCUGGCACCCUCUCCUGGGAUGCUAGGGCACAGCUCUGCUGCAGGCCCUACUUCUACCAUAAUGAAGUAUUAAUAAAGUCUGAAAUUCUUGCCCUUUUCCUGGUAUCCCAUUUUAAGUAAUACUUAGAAUUCAAUCAGAGAUACUGAGUGUAGAAUAUACCAUCUAUUCAUCCAUAUAAUUAUUCAUCCAUUUGUUAGCUUUUUAUUUACUAGAGACUUGGUCUCUUGUAUCCCAGGUUGGCCUUGAACUUACUACGUAGUUGAAGAUAACUCCUGCUUGUUUAGUGUUGGUCCCUGGGCUGGGCAGGCAGAGAGGAAACAGUUCCUGGUGGUGGAGCCCUUGAGUUACCACCAGAUCUUAGACUCCGGUGUCUUUUUCUUUUUCUGCAGCCUUAUCUGUCUGUCUCUGAUUCAUGGGAAAUGGGUUUACAAUUUAGUGGGUGUUCAUAUAAGAAUUAUUAAAAGAAUCUUUGGCUGAACCAUGUUGGUCUGCUAGUGUAUGUGUGCAUGUGUGUGUGUGUGCAUCUAUGGGUACUCCAGUUCUUCCUUUAGAACUUUUGUUCUUUGAGGGAGUGUUAUAUGAAUGACCCCAUUGACUGAAGCACUGUAGACUGUCAAGGUCAUCAGGUUGGAGUGAGGAAGUCUGGCUCUGAAGACAACAAAAAAAAGAUCAGAUGUUCCUCCUAGGUCUCUGUAUCUUCAUGGCAUGGUCUAUUUCUCACUGCCCUGGGAAAUCUGAGCUCAACACGAACAGCUCCUGGAACCACAUAGCUGGUGUCCUUCACUGUAUGGCUACUUCUGACCAGCUACUUGUCUCAGAUGCAAUGAGAAGUCACUUUGUCUUCUAUCUAGACUUGGUUUGGGCCCUAAGUUGCUCCUGAGUCCUGCUGACUUAGAGAAAUACUUAAGGAGAAGAAAGAGGAUUAAAAGUUCUUUCAUCUGUAUCGGAACCUUCAGAACAAGUGAGAGUCAGCAGAACCUUUGUGUGUGAUAGGGUUGGCAAUGAGGUUGAUCAGACAGCUGCUUGAAUGUGUGACCUGGUGUUU